GACGAACGCUGGCGGCGUGCUUAACACAUGCAAGUCGAACGGAAAGGCCCUGCUUUUGUGGGGUGCUCUAGUUGCGAACGGGUGAGUAACACUUGAGUAACCUGCCCUUGACUUUAGGAUAACUUCAGGAAACUUAGUCUAAUACCGGAUAGGAUCUCCUGCUGCAUGGUGGGGGUUGGAAAGUUUCGGCGGUUGGGGAUGUACUCGCGGCUUAUCAGCUUGUUGGUUGGGUAGUGGCUUACCAAGGCUUUGACGGGUAGCCGGCCUGAGAGGGUGACCGGCCACAUUGGGACUGAGAUACGGCACAGACUCCUACGGGAGGCAGCAGUGGGGAAUAUUGCACAAUGGGCGGAAGCCUGAUGCAGCAACGCCGCGUGCGGGAUGACGGCCUUCGGGUUGUAAACCGCUUUCGCCUGUGACGAAGCGUGAGUGACGGUAAUGGGUAAAGAAGCACCGGCUAACUACGUG
rnacentral:rRNA from 1 species